rnacentral:rRNA from 1 species
UACGGAAGGUCCAAGCGUUAAUCGGAAUUACUGGGCGUAAAGCGCGCGUAGGUGGUUUAUUAAGUUGGGUGUGAAAGCCCCGGGCUCAACCUGGGAACUGCAUCCAAAACUGAUUCACUAGAGUACGAAAGAGGGAGGUAGAAUUCACAGUGUAGCGGUGGAAUGCGUAGAUAUUGUGAAGAAUACCAAUGGCGAAGGCAGCCUCCUGGUUCUGUACUGACACUGAGGUGCGAAAGCGUGGGUAGCGAACAGGAUUAGAUACCCUGGUAGUCCACGCCGUAAACGAUGACAACCAGCUGUUGGGAAGCAAUGCUUUUCAGUGGCGCAGCUAACGUCUUAAGUUGUCCGCCUGGGGAGUACGGCCGCAAGGUUAAAACUCAAAUGAAUUGACGGGGACCCGCACAAGCGGUGGAGCAUGUGGUUUAAUUCGAUGCAACGCGAAAAACCUUACCUACUCUUGACAUCCUUGGAAUCUCUUGUAAUGAGAGAGUGCCUUUUGGAACCAAGUGACAGGUGCUGCAUGGCUGUCGUCAGCUCGUGUCGUGAGAUGUUCCGUUAAGUCGGAUAACGAGCGCAACCCUUACCCUUAUUUGCCAGCGGUUCGGCCGGGAACUAUAAGGGGACUGCCGGUGAUAAACCGGAGGAAGGUGAGGACGACGUCAAGUCAUCAUGGCCCUUACGAGUAGGGCUACACACGUGCUACAAUGGGAAGUACAGAGGGACGCCAAAGCGCGAGCUGGAGCUAAUCUCAUAAAACUUUUCGUAGUCCGGAUUGCAGUCUGCAACUCGACUGCAUGAAGUCGGAAUCGCUAGUAAUCGCGGAUCAGCACGCCGCGGUGAAUACGUUCUCGGGUCU